CAGGUUGAAGGUUGGGUAACACUAACUGGAGGACCGAACCGACUAAUGUUGAAAAAUUAGCGGAUGACCUGUGGCUGGGGGUGAAAGGCCAAUCAAACCGGGAGAUAGCUGGUUCUCCCCGAAAGCUAUUUAGGUAGCGCCUCGUGAAUUCAUCUCCGGGGGUAGAGCACUGUUUCGGCUAGGGGGCCAUCCCGGCUUACCAACCCGAUGCAAACUGCGAAUACCGGAGAAUGUUAUCACGGGAGACACACGGCGGGUGCUAACGUCCGUCGUGAAGAGGGAAACAACCCAGACCGCCAGCUAAGGUCCCAAAGUCAUGGUUAAGUGGGAAACGAUGUGGGAAGGCCCAGACAGCCAGGAUGUUGGCUUAGAAGCAGCCAUCAUUUAAAGAAAGCGUAAUAGCUCACUGGUCGAGUCGGCCUGCGCGGAAGAUGUAACGGGGCUAAACCAUGCACCGAAGCUGCGGCAGCGACACUGUGUGUUGUUGGGUAGGGGAGCGU
rnacentral:rRNA from 1 species